GAACAUGUUGAUCUGGGCCUUCUUUCACAAAGCAUUAAGGUGAUCGUAAGUCACAAAGGUAACCUUAGUGCAAUGAUAAAGAAUGGGAGUAAAGGUAACCUUAGUAAA